UUAACAAAAACAUGUCUUUUUGAGUUAUUUUUAAAGUCUGACCUGCCCACUGAAAUUGUUUAAAUGGCCGCAGUAUUCUAACUGUGCAAAGGUAGCAUAAUCAUUAGUCUUUUAAUUGAAGGCUGGUAUGAACGGUUGGACGAGGUAUAAGCUGUUUCAUAUAAAUUUAUAAUAGAAUUUUAUAUUUUAGUCAAAAAGCUAAAAUUUAAUUAAAAGACGAGAAGACCCUAUAAAUCUUUAUAUUUUAUAUUAUUUAAGUUUUUUUGAUUUGUUUUAUUUUUAUAAUUUAAGGUAUUUUGUUGGGGUGAUAUUAAAAUUUAAUGAACUUUUAAUUAUUUAAAAUCAUUAAUUUAUGAGUUAUUGAUCCAUUAAUAGUGAUUAUAAGACUAAGUUACUUUAGGGAUAACAGCGUAAUUUUUUUGGAGAGUUCAUAUCGAUAAAAAAGUUUGCGACCUCGAUGUUGGAUUAAGAUAUAUUUUUAGGUGUAGCCGCUUAAAUAUUAAGUCUGUUCGACUUUUAAAUUCUUACGUGAUCUGAGUUC
rnacentral:rRNA from 1 species